UUCAUAUGAACGGGAAAAGGUGCGCCUUGGUUGCGCUUAAAAGGGAAGUCCGGUGUAAAUCCGGCACGGUCCCGCCACUGUAAUUUGGUAGUUUUCCGCAGAAUCCACUGUCUCAGACGGGAAGGAGCGGAAAACGAUGACCAUAAGUCAGGAGACCUGCCUUUUCUAACAGCACUGC
rnacentral:ncRNA from 2 species